UACGGAGGGUGCGAGCGUUGUCCGGAAUCACUGGGCGUAAAGGGCGCGUAGGCGGCUCGUUAAGUGGCUGGUGAAAUCCCGGGGCUCAACUCCGGGGCUGCCGGUCAUACUGGCGAGCUGGAGCACGGUAGAGGCGGAUGGAAUUCCCGGUGUAGCGGUGGAAUGCGUAGAUAUCGGGAAGAAUACCGGUGGCGAAGGCGUUCCGCUGGGCCGUUGCUGACGCUGAGGCGCGACAGCGUGGGGGAGCAAACAGG
rnacentral:rRNA from 1 species